UACGUAGGGGGCGAGCGUUGUCCGGAAUUACUGGGCGUAAAGGGCGCGCAGGCGGCCGUGUAAGUCCGCUGUGAAAGACCGGGGCUCAACCCCGGGGUGUCAGCGGGGACUGCACGGCUGGAGUCCCGGAGAGGGAGGCGGAAUACCUGGUGUAGCGGUGGAAUGCGUAGAUAUUGGGAGGAACACCAGUGGCGAAGGCGGCUCACUGGACCGGAACUGACGCUGAGGCGCGAAAGCGUGGGGAGCAAACAGG
rnacentral:rRNA from 1 species